CAUAGAGAACCCCAAGGGCGUGACACCCAUGGUGUUGUGCGGGAUUGUUAUUGUCAUGUUUUUGGUAAUGUUGGUGACUGGUUAUUUCGACGGGUGCUGUUUUUUGCCCGUGCGUAAAAAUUGAUGUUCGUGUGUUUGUGUUUGGGCAAGUGUAGUGUUGUACCUUGCACCAUUCAUUAUUCUGAGCGAAGUUACGUUGCUCCCAAUUCUCUGCUCUCCUGCGCCUGCCUGCAUACACCAGCUACACCCACCAUUAUGACAGACGGUGAUUUGGGCCCAUUCCCGGGAAAGCAGUAUAUCCUUCACGUUGGACUCGUUAAUGGAAAAAGCUUCUUCCUGUUCCUGGUGUCACAAUGUGUACCUUGCCUGGCCAGCAUGACAUCUAUAAAACAGGAGGUGGAGUACACUCCAAUAGUGGUCACUCAGCCAUUUGAACUACUUGGGAUGGACCUUAUCGGCAAACUGACACAAACAGACAGCGGACACCAGUACAUCUGUGUUAUGAUUGACCACCUCACUAAAUGGCCACAGGCAUACCCCCUCCGCACAAAGUCUGUUAAGGAGGUCACAGACCUCUAUCAUUUUGAGGCACCAAAACGUAUACUCACAGACCAAGGGAAGGAGUUUGUCAAUGAGGAUCUGGCGAUCUGAAGAAGUCUCUGCUCAACGUAAAAUCCCCAGAUGAAUGGAUUGGUAGAAAGGAUGAACAGGUGAAAACAGAGAGCCAUCUCUAAAUUAGUGGGCCAAACACCAAAAUAGUGGGACAGGCACCUUGAUGGCGUAAUGUUUGGUUUAAGAACCAAGAAUCAAAUGACAACAAAAUACUCCCCCUUCGACCUGAUGUUCGGUAGAGAGGCUCGCUACCCGUCAGAGGUUCCAGAACAUUACAGGAUUGACAGCAGUGUCGAGGAGGUCUUAGCAGUGGAAGACUUAACAGAAGAUAUGCUGAAGCUCAAUUAGGUUCUCCAGACUGACAGAGUGUGGCAGGUAAAAAUCCGCAACCAGCAGAGGAAAGGGGGCACACUAGAUCACAACUAUCUCGGCCAAUGUACGAUUCGAGGUCUCAAAGGCAAAAGUGGGGGUUAUCUUCCCUAAAAUAAGCAUGGAUCACCUGAGGCCUCAUGUAGAGGAGACUCCUCAGAUCCCUCAUAAAAUAAAGGCAGCAGCCUCCAGAACCACUACACCAGCAGAUGCAGCCUCCACAGCCACUACACCAACAGCCUCAACCUCCAAAACCACCACACCAGCAGGUGCAGCCUCCACAGCCGCCACACCAGCGGCCUCCACAGCCACCACGCCAGCAGAUGCAGCCUCCACAACCACCACACCAGCAGGUGCGGCCUCCACAGCCACCACACCAGCAGCCUCCACCUCCUCAGCCACCACACCAGCAGCCUCCACCUCCACAGCCACCACACCAGCAGCCUCCACCUCCUCAGCCACCACACCAGCAGCAGCAGCAGCUACUGAUAUAAACAAAUGUAUGUAUGUAAUCUUAGCAGGUUGAUCCAUUUAUAUAUCGCAGUACACCUACAGGUACAUUUUCCAGGUGUUGCAGAGGCUUGAGGAGGAACAUAUGUAUACAGUUGAAGUCGGAAGUUUACAUACAACUUAGCCAAAUACAUUUCAACUCCGUUUUGCACAAUUCCUGACUUUUAAUCCUAGUAAAAAAUUAGCUAUCUUGGGUCAGUUAGUAUCACCACUUUAUUUUAAGAAUGUGAAAUGUCAGAAUAAUAUUAGAGAGAAUGAUUUAUUUCAGCUUUUAUUUCUUUCAUCACAUUCCCAUUGGGUCAGAAGUGUACAUACACUCAAUUAGUAUUUGGUAGUAUUGCCUGUAAAUUGUUUAACUUGGGUCAAACGUUUCAGGUAGCCUUCCCACAAUAAGUUGUGUGAAUGUUGGCCCAUUCCUCCUGACAGAGCUGGAGUAACUGAGUCAGGUUUGUAGGCCUCCUUGCUCGCACAUGCUUUUUCAAUUCUGCCCACAAAUUUUCUAUAGGAUUGAGGUCAGGACUUUGUGAUGGCCACUCCAAUACCUUGACUUUGUUGUCCGUAAGCCAUUUUGCCACAACUUUGUAAGUAUGCUUAGCGUCAAUUGUCCAUUUGGAAAACUCAUUUGCGACCAAGCUUUAACUUCCUGACUGAUAUCUUGAGAUGUUGCCUCAAUAUAUCCACAUAAUUCUACUUCCUCAUGAUGCCAUCUAUUGUGUGAAGUGCACCAGUCCCUCCUGCAGCAAAGCACCCCCACAACAUGAUGCUGCCAACCCAGUGCUUCACGGUUGGGAUGGUGCUCUUCAGUUUGCAAGCCUCCCCCUUUUUCCUCCAAACAUAACGAUGGUCAUUAUGGCCAAACAGUUCUAUUUUUGUUUUAUCAGACCAGAGGACAUUUCUCCAAAAAGGACGAUCUUUGUCCCCAUGUGCAGUUGCAAACCGUAGUCUGGCUAUUUUAUGUUGGUUUUGGAGUGGUGUCUUCUUCCUUGCUGAGCAGCCUUUCAGGUUAUGUCAACAUAGGACUCGUUUUACUGUGGAUAUAGGUCAAGGUCCUUUGCUGUUGUUCUGGGAUUGAUUUGCACUUCUCGCACCAAAAUACGUUCAUCUCUAGGAGACAGAACACGCUUCCUUCCUGAGCGGUAUGACGGUUUCGUGGUCCCAUGGGGUUUAUACUUGCAAACUAUUGUUUGUACAGAUGAACGUGGUACCUUCAGGCGUUUGGAAAUUGCUCCCAAGGAGGUCUUGGCUAAUUUCUUUUGAUUUUCCCAUGAUGUCAAGCAAAGAGGCACUGAGUUGAAAGGUAGGCCUUGG